CUACGGGGGGCUGCAGCUAAGAAUCUUCCGCAAUGGGCGCAAGCCUGACGGAGCGACGCCGCGUGAACGAAGAAGGCCGUGAGGUUGUAAAGUUCUAUUCUUGGGGAGGAAUAAGCCCUGCAGGGAAUGGCAGGGUGAUGACGUGAACCGAGGAAUAAGCCCCGGCUAAUUACGUGCCAGCAGCCGCGGUAACACGUAAGGGGCGAGCGUUGUUCGGAAUUAUUGGGCGUAAAGGGCGCGUAGGCGGGAAUGCAAGCCUGAUGUGAAAUACCCCGGCUCAACUGGGGGGGCGCGUUGGGAACUGUAUUUCUUGAGUAUAAGAGGGGAUGUUGGAAUUCCAGGUGUAGGGGUGAAAUCUGUAGAUAUCUGGAAGAACACCGGCGGCGAAGGCGAACAUCUGGCUAUAUACUGACGCUGAGGCGCGAAAGCGUGGGGAGCGAACAGGAUUAGAUACCCUCGUAGUC
rnacentral:rRNA from 1 species